rnacentral:rRNA from 1 species
GAUGAACGCUGGCGGCGUGCUUAACACAUGCAAGUCGAACGGUGAACGAGGGAGCUUGCUCCCUCCGGAUCAGUGGCGGACGGGUGAGUAACACGUGAGCAAUCUGCCCUGGACUCUGGGAUAAGCGUUGGAAACGACGUCUAAUACCGGAUACGAGGCGUGGGGGCAUCCCCAACGCCUGGAAAGAACUUCGGUCCAGGAUGAGCUCGCGGCCUAUCAGCUUGUUGGUGAGGUAACGGCUCACCAAGGCGACGACGGGUAGCCGGCCUGAGAGGGUGACCGGCCACACUGGGACUGAGACACGGCCCAGACUCCUACGGGAGGCAGCAGUGGGGAAUAUUGCACAAUGGGCGCAAGCCUGAUGCAGCAACGCCGCGUGAGGGACGACGGCCUUCGGGUUGUAAACCUCUUUUAGCAGGGAAGAAGCGAAAGUGACGGUACCUGCGGAAAAAGCACCGGCUAACUACGUGCCAGCCGCCGCGGUAAAAC